GUAGUCAUAUGCUUGUCUCAAAGAUUAAGCCAUGCAUGUCUAAGUAUAAGCAACUUGUACUGUGAAACUGCGAAUGGCUCAUUAAAUCAGUUAUCGUUUAUUUGAUAGUACCUUACUACAUGGAUACCUGUGGUAAUUCUAGAGCUAAUACAUGCUAAAAACCCCGACUUCAGGAAGGGGUGUAUUUAUUAGAUAAAAAACCAACGCCCUUCGGGGCUCCUUGGUGAAUCAUAAUAACUUAACGAAUCGCAUGGCCUUGCGCCGGCGAUGGUUCAUUCAAAUUUCUGCCCUAUCAACUUUCGAUGGUAGGAUAGUGGCCUACCAUGGUGGCAACGGGUAACGGGGAAUUAGGGUUCGAUUCCGGAGAGGGAGCCUGAGAAACGGCUACCACAUCCAAGGAAGGCAGCAGGCGCGCAAAUUACCCAAUCCCGAUACGGGGAGGUAGUGACAAUAAAUACUGAUACGGGGCUCUUUUGGUCUCGUAAUUGGAAUGAGAACAAUUUAAAUCCCUUAACGAGGA
rnacentral:rRNA from 1 species